rnacentral:rRNA from 1 species
GUGGGGAAUAUUGCACAAUGGGCGCAAGCCUGAUGCAGCCAUGCCGCGUGUGUGAAGAAGGCCUUCGGGUUGUAAAGCACUUUCAGCGGGGAGGAAGGCGAUAAGGUUAAUAACCUUGUCGAUUGACGUUACCCGCAGAAGAAGCACCGGCUAACUCCGUGCCAGCAGCCGCGGUAAUACGGAGGGUGCAAGCGUUAAUCGGAAUUACUGGGCGUAAAGCGCACGCAGGCGGUCUGUCAAGUCGGAUGUGAAAUCCCCGGGCUCAACCUGGGAACUGCAUUCGAAACUGGCAGGCUAGAGUCUUGUAGAGGGGGGUAGAAUUCCAGGUGUAGCGGUGAAAUGCGUAGAGAUCUGGAGGAAUACCGGUGGCGAAGGCGGCCCCCUGGACAAAGACUGACGCUCAGGUGCGAAAGCGUGGGGAGCAAACAGGAUUAGAAACCCGUGUAGUCC